AGCAUGACUCUCGGCAACGGAUAUCUCGGCUCUCGCGUCGAUGAACAACGUAGCGAAAUGCGAUACUCGGUGUGAAAUGCAGAAUCCCGUGAACCAUCGAGUCUUUGAACGCAAGUUGCGCCCGAGGCUUUCUGGCCGAGGGCACGCCUGCCUGGGCGUCACG
rnacentral:rRNA from 1 species